rnacentral:rRNA from 1 species
GACGAACGCUGGCGGCGUGCCUAAUACAUGCAAGUCGAGCGGAAUGAUGAAGAAGCUUGCUUCUUCUGAUUUUAGCGGCGGACGGGUGAGUAACACGUGGGCAACCUACCUUGUAGAUUGGGACAACUCCGGGAAACCGGGGCUAAUACCGAAUAAUCCAUUUUGCUUCAUGGCGAGAUGUUGAAAGACGGUUUCGGCUGUCACUACAAGAUGGGCCCGCGGCGCAUUAGCUAGUUGGUAGGGUAAUGGCCUACCAAGGCGACGAUGCGUAGCCGACCUGAGAGGGUGAUCGGCCACACUGGGACUGAGACACGGCCCAGACUCCUACGGGAGGCAGCAGUAGGGAAUCUUCCACAAUGGACGAAAGUCUGAUGGAGCAACGCCGCGUGAGUGAAGAAGGUUUUCGGAUCGUAAAACUCUGUUGUAAGGGAAGAACACGUACGAGAGUAACUGCUCGUACCUUGACGGUACCUUAUUAGAAAGCCACGGCUAACUACGUG